AGGAGGAACAGCCCCAGUGGCGGGGCAGCUCUGGAAACCUGGAUUCAGCUCCGGCAGGAACUCCAUCUGCAGGGCCUGGAGGCUCCGGGGCGGG
rnacentral:pre_miRNA from 1 species